rnacentral:lncRNA from 1 species
GCCGCGCACUCGGAGUCGGCGGCGCCAGCCAGCGCGCCCCCUGGCGACCAGGCCGCGCGAGGUCCGCGGCCGCGCCAGACCAUAGAGAUGGCGUGGGCCAGAGCGUCUGGAGUCGCUGCGGCGGGAGCGGGGGACCCGAGGCCCUUGGCUGUCCUCAUCCCGGGCCGCGGGAGCGAGCGCUGCGGCUGGACGGAGGGGCUUCGGGUGGCCGAUCCCGCGGAUGAGCGCCGCUCUAGAAACAAGCAAAAACAAAGUUCAGGGGAAGAGACCGAAUGGAGGAAACUACGGUGUCUUCGUUGCCGCUUCCGGGUGGGAUGGCACCUGCGGUGGAGGAGGGAUUGAAGUGCCUUUGAGAACUUUAGCGGGAGGUGGGUUAUUCCGAAGGAAUUUGGCCCCAGGUUAUCGGAGCAGAGGGAUAAUUGCGGGUUUUAGGAUCCAGACGUGGUACGGGUGAAAAUGCUUCGUGCUUGCUUGAAGUUAAACCCGGCGGGGGAACGAUUGUUCCCACUGAACGUUCCCACAGGAGAACCCUUGGAGACACUACCUUUCCCACAGAAUUUCAUUCAAGGAGCUCAAAGGCCAGGUUAGUUUUACAACAUUCACUGUUACUGUAAGCUAAGCAAAGCCCACCUCCUCCACACUUCUUCUGAAAACUACAAUUUGUCUCCUGCUGCUUCUACCAUUUUAGUUUGUUAAUGUCAUAAUGAGCAUUGUUCCUAUAUCAUACCAGCCCAUCCAUCCCUCUCCACUUGGAAAUCCUCCGUCCCCCCUACCCUUUAGAGUUCAUAAUCUUUUUUUAUUAUUUUUAAUAUCCC